rnacentral:rRNA from 1 species
CAGUAGCCGCGGGAAUACGGAGGGUGCAAGCGUUAAUCGGAAUUACUGGGCGUAAAGCGUGCGUAGGUGGUGGUUUAAGUCCGUUGUGAAAGCCCUGGGCUCAACCUGGGAAUUGCAGUGGAUACUGGGUCACUAGAGUGUGGUAGAGGAUAGUGGAAUUUCCGGUGUAGCAGUGAAAUGCGUAGAGAUCGGAAGGAACAUCUGUGGCGAAGGCGACUAUCUGGGCCAACACUGACACUGAGGCACGAAAGCGUGGGGAGCAAACAGGAUUAGAUACCCCUGUAGUCCCUGUCUCUUAUAC